GUAGGGAAUAGGGUGCCAUUUGUUUCACAACCACUGGACUGGAGUGUAGAGUGUAGGGACGGCAGGUAGCCUAGUGGUUAGAGUGCAGGGACGGCAGGUAGCCUAGUGGUUAGAUUGUAGGGACGGCAGGUAGCCUAGUGGUUAGAUUGUAGGGGCGGCAGGUAGCCUAGUGGUUAGAGUGUAGGGACGGCAGGUAGCCUAGUGGUUAGAGUGUAGGGGCGGCAGGUAGCCUAGUGGUUAGAGUGUAGGGACGGCAGGUAGCCUAGUGGUUAGAGUGUAGGGGCUGCAGGUAGCCUAGUGGUUAGAGUGUAGGG
ensembl:lncRNA